CCUACGGGAGGCAGCAGUGAGGAAUAUUGGUCAAUGGACGAGAGUCUGAACCAGCCAAGUAGCGUGAAGGAUGACUGCCCUAUGGGUUGUAAACUUCUUUUAUAAAGGAAUAAAACGAGGCACGUGUGCCUUUUUGCAUGUACUUUAUGAAUAAGGAUCGGCUAACUCUGUGCCAGCAGCCGCGGUAAUACGGAGGAUCCGAGCGUUAUCCGGGUUUAUUGGGUUUAAAGGGAGCGUAGAUGGGUUGUUAAGUCAGUUGUGAAAGUUUGCGGCUCAACCGUAAAAUUGCAAUUGAUACUGGCAGUCUUGAGUACAGUUGAGGUAGGCGGAAUUCGUGGUGUAGCAGUGAAAUGCUUAGAUAUCACGAAGAACCCCGAUUGCGAAGGCAGCUUACUAAACUGUGACUGACAUUGAUGCUCGAAAGUGUGGGUAUCAAACAGGAUUAGAUACCCUUGUAGUC
rnacentral:rRNA from 1 species